CCAGACAAGUGAGGCGAAACACACCAGUGGAAUUUUCAAUGACACUGAUCUUAAAAUAGACCGUGUUUUUUCUUGUUCGGCUGACCAUGUGUCUGGAAUCCUGGGUAAACACAAGAGGGAGCGGCCGAUUCUAUGUGGCUAAUAUGUGACAUUCAGCCAGGAGUUGUGUUUAGAGUCUGUGGUCCCAACAUCCUCCUCAGGGUGCUCACUUAAUAUCAUCGAGGUUCAUGGUUUGGGUUGAAAUUGAUGACUACAGCUAUUAGGGGGAUUUGUCACUUGAACAUAUCGCCUGCUGAAACGUCUGAUUCUGCACAUGGCCCGACCAUCGAUAUCCUCCUCGCCUUAUUGCCCGGCCCAACAGCAGAGCCGGUAUUGUUUUCACCCGGUCGGAGUCUGGGUGUGUGUCAAAUGAGCAAGUUGUGGACACAUCUACUGUAGCGGGGACUACCACAGGCAGUUUUAAGUACUUUGGCAUGCAUGUGUCUGUCUGUCUAUGUGUGGACGGAUUUUGUCAUCGUGGUAGCCUCUGUGCAAGAAACAUCCAUGCAACUUGGCGUAUAGCUGAGGUAAAAAUGAAGGACGAGUUCGAAGAUGGCUGCGGUCUGAUCCAUGCACGUGAACAAAUGAGGCUGUUUUGAGGGCAAACGGAGGAAUUACCCGCUAUUGGUAUAGGGUGUUCCUAAUCAAGUGCUUGGCCAAUGGUAUUUUGGAACAUUUGUCAGAUCAGACGCAGAGCAAACACCAAGUCCUUCUUCCCUCUUUAAAGGACUUAUGCAUUAUCUGACUUCUGAACAUGAAACCAAGACGUACUCAAAGAAAAAAACGGAAAUCUAACCUUUAUGUCCACUGUUGCUGUUGCUGUACCACGAUGUGAGUGAUGUGCCUCCUAAAGUGUUUUACUGCCUACUUCCUUUUUAGACUAAUGCCUGCAAUUUGGCAAGUGGUGAAUCUGUAAAAACGUGGUAUUACUGCAAACAAUUUUGAGCACUUGCCAUGGCUUUUAUUGCAGGCAUCUUUGGAAGGCUUAAGCAUCUAAAUGGGCAAGUGUUGUAAAUGUAUGUGUGGAUGGCUCCCCCACACUUUAUAAUGCAGCAGUGUAACGGUUAAGGUAUAUUAGUAAUAGAAACAUACUGUGAUACUGGUAUUACGGAUGCAAAGCUCUUCUCUGCUUUGGUCAUGGUCCUGAGAAACUGAAGUGCAGUGACGUGACACAUGCUGCUACUUAGACAUGUAUAUAUUUCACAUGUAUCCUGUCAGUUACACCCCUGUCUGUCAGUAUUAGUGGCAGCUAACGGAGACAGAUGAUGAUGAUCACUCCUCCCCGGAUAUGUAUUCACACAUCAAGCCUGCUCAUUCCCCAGUCUGUUAUCUGACAGAGAUGUGGGAGCAGUACCCAUGUAGAAAGAAAAGGAUGCAGCCUUUUUUGGAUCCAACUGCACAAAACUACUAAACUAGCACACACAAGCUUAAAUCUCAGCUUUCCCAUAGACACAAGACGUGCCCCUGCCAAAAUGUGUUUAAUAACAUAAUGUCAUAUUUAACCAGAAAUAGGAUUACGAAGAAUACUAAUCAUUCACAUAUGAAGUGGUGGGUGGAUUCUUCCUCCAAUAUCAACAGUAGUUGGGGUCAUAGAGUCGUUGGUUAGGAUUGAGUUUGGAAAUUCUGUAUGUUUAUCACUUCUCGUCAGUCGUUAUGAGGUUUCUAUCUUUUUGAGCCUUAUUUGAAUAAAUAAUGUAUGUUAAGGCCAAAUUGACCUAGAUUUGUGAGCUUUACAAAUUAAUAGCAUAUUAAUUUCACUUCACUUGCCUAGCUUAAUAGAGUAAUUGCAAAGCGAUAAAUAAAGCAGCAGGAAGAGAACAUAACUGGACCCAAAACGGAGCCAUGCUGCACACCAUUUAUUAAAGAUGUGGAUGAUGAUAGGGGGACUGAGAACUGAGCAACAGCAGAGCAGAGCUCCCUUUACAUUAACAGCCAGUGACGAUGGUCAGGAAAGGGAAAAAAAAAUCAAAAAGCCAAGUGGAUUUGGUUGAGAGUGUAAUAGACUACAAUGUAAUGAAAUAGUGCGAAAUCUGUGACAAAUCCGAGGAGAUCAGUUUCAUUUUCAGAAAUGCUCAAACCAGCCCAUUUGACACCAACAAUCAUGCCACUGUCAAGCUCACUGUCCAAGAAGCACCUGUGUUUGCAUUAACUCUCCAAUCUGAUGUUUGAUGUGAACGUAAACUGAAGCUCCUGACUGAAGCACCAUUUUCAAAUAAUCAUUACCAGCUCCAUUAAAGCAGAAUUUGUUGCGGUGCUGUCAUGUUGGAUUACAUUGGAUCAACAAUGCCGCCACUAUAUGUGAAGAUAGUUA